UUCUCCAAAGUGGUCUUCCCCAGAAUGGGAACUGAGGGGCUGCUGUGGAGAGCAGAGGCUUCGUAGGCAAGGCCAGUGGAAGUUGAGAGGGAACAAGAAAUUGCCAAGGGCUAAGGCUGGAGAAAGCAGGCAGAGAGGAGAAGCUUACGCAGACAGUCCCAGCACCCUGGGCCAAAAAGCUGUGACAUUUGCCAAUAUUGAGAGCCAAGAGUCCCAAAGCCUGGGGACGAAAGCUGUCACGCCCAGGGUUACAAUAGCUGCCCAGUUAAAGCCCAGGGCUGAGCGUCCAGCCUGAGCACCUGGGAACCUGAGUUUCUGACCUACAGGGCUCUGGCUCUGCCAGUAUGCUCCUUGAGCUUGUGGUACCUGUACCUGAGAGUUUCUUCACUCCUAAUUCCCACCUGCACAGGGUAGAGGACCCUAAUGACCAGUAACAUGGCUAGAUGCUGCAUCUCCCUAUCCUGGGCUCCAGCCUUACCUAUUCAGCCAGCUGGAGCGAGAGCCUACCACUAGGCAGGAGCGCCAGACGCCACUCCUGGGCGGGUCCUAGGCUAAGGUCAGGACUGGGCGUGUCCUGGGCCUUGGCCGCGCAGUGGGAGAACACCCUGGAUGACCGUCGCCUGCCACGCGCGGGGCACAGUAUGGGGAGGCGCUCCUGCUGCCGGCCUCGCUUACGGGUGGUGGCAAGGCUGGGCGCUGCGCUCCUGCUCCUGUGCGCGCUCCUGCUCCUGCGUCCUGCAUUUGACAACAAAGCCCUGGGCUCUAGCUGGUUUGGAGGAGUAAGGAAGAGUCCCCUACAGCUGUUGCAUGACCUGGACCAGGGUGGUCGGCCCUCCUUGAUGGCCAAGGUGCACCAGCAGCGGCGCGAGCUGCUACAGCGGGCCUGCAGCCGCCACACACGACGCCAGCGCCUGCUGCAGCCGGAGGACCUGCGGCACGUGCUGGUGGACGACGCACACGGGCUGCUGUACUGCUACGUGCCCAAGGUGGCCUGCACCAACUGGAAGCGCGUGCUGCUGGCGCUGCGCGGCCGUGGGGACCCGGGCUCAAUCCCCGCGCACGAGGCGCAUGCGCCUGGCCUGCUGCCCUCGCUGGCCGACUUUGCGCCGGCCGAGGUCAACCGGAGGCUGCGGGACUACCUGGCCUUUCUCUUCGUGCGCGAGCCCUUCGAGCGCCUGGCCUCGGCCUACCGCAACAAGCUGGCGCGGCCACACAGCGCGGCCUUCCAGCGGCGCUACGGCACGCGCAUCGUGCGCCGCCUCCGCCCGCACGCGCAGCCCGACGCGCUGGCCCGCGGCCACGACGUGCGCUUCGCCGAGUUCCUGGCCUACCUGCUCGACCCGCGCACGCGCCGCCACGAGCCCUUCAAUGAACACUGGGAGCGCGCGCACGCGCUGUGCCACCCGUGCCUAGUGCGCUAUGACGUGGUGGGCAAGUUCGAGACGCUGGCGGAUGACGCGGCCUUUGUGCUGGACCUGGUGGGCGAGCCGGGCCUGCGCUUCCCGGCUCCACCGCGGAGGUCAGAGAAGGACCCCACGCGUGACCAGGCCCGGCGCCUCUUCCAGGACAUCAGCCCCUUCUACCAGCGCCGCCUCUUUGACCUCUAUAAGAUGGACUUUCUGCUCUUCAACUACUCCGCCCCCUCCUACCUGCGGCUGCAGUAGGGGCGGGGCGGGGGGGGGGGUGUUGAGAAGGACCUGUGACUGCUGUGACCAAGAGGCCGCCAGGAGGUCUGGAAUGAACCUGGUAGUGUGGAUUGGAGAACCCUUGGCAUACCUUGCUUAUUGGGCCUGACCAAGAUCCUGGGCACAGGCCACACUCACACCGACUGGGUUGGGCACAGCUUGCCUCAGGCGACCGUUCUGGCCUUUUGUGCCUUUGGUUUGAUGCAUGUCUCUUCUUCCUGCUGCAGGUGGCAGGCUUCUCUCUAGGACCCAGGGCCCAGGGAGCUGUGCAGAAGAGGAAGUGGAAAGACUCUAGGAGUCAGUAGGGAUGGAAGUCCAGACACAGCAGGACUUGAUGCACAUCUGAACCCCCAGAGGCCGUGGCAGCGUGCACAGGUUUGCACAGGUGCAAGCCAGAUGGGGCCUCAGUGCUGAGAGGGGAAGCAGACAUGAAUCCUCAUUCCCUACCAAGAAGCUCUCACCGCUGACAACUGCUCACAAAGGAAAAAUUAGUUGUCUCCAAUGGAGUUUCACUGGGAAGACAAACCACACUUGAGGCCCCAUGCCAUCUGUAGAUGGCCAACACAAAACAAGCUCAAUUCAAUGGCUGAAGUAGCCAUGAUGGUUCUUGUCCUUGGAAACUUGUGGAAGCCGCCACUUGGGUCACUCUCCUUCCAUGCCCUUCUGAGCUCUCAAGUAAGAUUAUGGAAUGGAAAUAGGAAGACUGUGGUCCAUGAUGGCCUGGUGAGCACCAUGACAGCCUAUACUGCCCACCUUGGGGCUUGUUUUUCCAAAGGCAAGGAAAAUCUCUGAGUUUUGGGUUGUUUUCCCUAGUGAAAGGAAACCAAGCAUUCCAUUUCCUCAUUGCCCUCCAUUUCUUUCUUAGUCCAAAGACUAUAAAUCUCUAGGCCAGAGGACUAACAUUCGAGAUCACUGAUUCCCUUCAGAGGCUGGGAGAGAGGCACCACACCUGCCCAGCCAUCUCCUGAGCCCUGUUCAGGCUGCUGUAACUCCUCAGAAGGCUCACACGCAGAGUCUCUCCUCCAGGUGCCAAUGCCCAAGCCCAGGCUCCCCAGGCUUCUAUGGCUCUCCUGAGCACUGUCUCUAGAUCUGGCAAAUGCUUCUCAGGAUCUCCAAGCUGCUCUGAUUUGCUGGGGGCAUCUGAACAUGGAACAGGCAUUGCACUUCCCAUCUAUGAAGCAGAGCUGGACAACUAAGAGAGACCCAAAGAACUCAGACAGGGAAAGUCAAGGUCAGGAUGGUGACAGUGCCUUCAAAUGAACCAAGACCAGGAUGACACGUCCAAGGGGAGGGGUAUGGCAGAGCUGGGCAUUGAUGCCAAGUCCAUUGAAGCAGUGUGUUGGGUGCAGGCAUGGAAGAAGCAGGAGGGACUGGAGUUCCAAAUCCUUCUGAACAGAGAGAGUAAGUGCUAAGAUCAAUCAGAACAUGCAACCCAAGAAGGGAGAGGACUGAUGUCUCUUAGUGUCCAUCAUCUUGGGGACAUCUUGUGACAGGUGUGCAAUUGGGUAACAAACCCGUGUAAAGUGAGUAACUGUUUCAGUCCACUCAAAUUUGUUUAUCUUGUAUUAGAUUCGAGUGAGAAUAAGUUCCACACAUUUAAUUUUAAACCAGCACACUCAGCAUAAUCUUUGCUAUUUUUCUUUUCCUUCCUCCCUUCCCCCUGCCCUUCUUGCCUCCCUCCUACCCUCACCCUCAUCUUUUCAUUCUCAUCCUCUCUUCCUUCCAUAUUAUGUCUAUACACAUGUUUGGAACGAUACUGCUUAAUACAAAUUUGGGGGUUGAGGUAACGAUUCCUUUUCCUGUUUCACGUUUGCAGUAGAGCUUGAAUUAUUUUUUAAUUUUAAUUUUUUAUAAAUACUUUUUAUAAGAUCUUUUUUCUUUUUUUAUUAGUUCUGUGAGAAUUCCUUACCCUUUAUUUUGAUCAUAUUCACCUCCCUCCCCUUACUCCACCCAGAUCCAGCCCCUCCCCUUCUCACCCAACCACAUGUUCUCUUUUUUUAAAAUAAAUUUUUUAAUUAAAAAUUA